rnacentral:lncRNA from 1 species
UCUGAAGUCUUUCGCCUCACUCCGUUCCUACUGAGACCUUUCAGAGAGGACCCCACCAUCCCAUCCCACCCAGGGCCGGCAGCUGCCUCCUGGUGGAUCUCAGAGAACGCAGCCACUGCUGGCCAGGGGAGCCAAACUUCAAACUGAUCCUAUUUGGCAUCCUUUCAAAUGGCUGUGAGCAGAAAAUCUUUGAUUUCCUCAAUUUUCCGUGGCAUGGUGAUGACGUGGGCAGAUGGCACACAUGGGCACUUCUCCCCGAGGACAGCCACAGACCCUCACAGCUAAUACUGUGAACUGAAGGG